GCCCCGCAGCUAACGGUGUGGAUCACCCUGCUCACUAGCAGCGGUGGGUAGCUACAUUCUCUUCUGGGAGCCCCUCUGCGGCACCACUCUUGGGAGUGGAAAAGGAAAUGGUCAAAGGGUCUCAAACUCCUGGCCUCAAGCGAUCCUCCUGCCUCGGCCUCCCAAAAUGCUGGGAUUACAGGUGUGAACCACUGCACCUGACACCUGCUUCCGGUUAUUAAAGACCUACUAUACAACAGGCUCUAUGUUGGGAUUUUCCAAAACACUGCUUAAUCUUCCCAACAAUCCUUCAAGCCACCCACCAUGUUCUGAAGACUGAGGACCUGCAGGCAACCCUGGGAAGAGGCCCAGAGGUAAGGAACUGGGGCCUCCUAUCAACAGCUCUGUGAAUGAGACAUCUUGGAAGCAGAUCCUCCAGCCCCAGUUAAAGCCUUCAGAUGAUGGCAACCCCAGCCGCCAGCUUGACUACAGCCUCAAGAGAGAUCCUAAGCCAGAAACAUCCCACUAAUCCAGUCCCGGAUUUGUGAUCUACAACAAAUACAUGAGAUAAUAAAAUAUUGUUGUUUUAAA